CACGUAGGGGGCGAGCGUUGUCCGGAUUUAUUGGGCGUAAAGGGCUCGUAGGCGGUUUGUCGCGUCGGGAGUGAAAACACCGGGCUUGACUCGGUGCUUGCUUUCGAUACGGGCAGACUAGAGGUAUGCAGGGGAGAACGGAAUUCCUGGUGUAGCGGUGAAAUGCGCAGAUAUCAGGAGGAACACCGGUGGCGAAGGCGGUUCUCUGGGCAUUACCUGACGCUGAGGAGCGAAAGUGUGGGGAGCGAACGGG
rnacentral:rRNA from 1 species